GCUAAAGAGGUAAAGUCGGAUUGAAUCUCGGCGCUAUGUGCUGUGAGCGAAAGAAAUGAGUGGUGGAUUAGCACCACGUAUAAAAGCACUGUAUAUGUAUCCAACUUGCCUUUUUCUCUGACAAACAGUGACUUAUACAGGAUAUUUUCCAAAUAUGGAAAAGUUGUAAAGUAAGUAUCCAUUUUAACUUUUAAGUUUCUUAAACUGUUUUUUAUUGUUGUUUUUUAACAUGGUUUCAUUUCUAUUUAACACCUCAGCAC
rnacentral:lncRNA from 1 species